rnacentral:rRNA from 1 species
GACGAACGCUGGCGGCGUGCCUAAUACAUGCAAGUCGAGCGAAUCUUUAGGAGCUUGCUCCUAAAGGUUAGCGGCGGACGGGUGAGUAACACGUGGGCAACCUGCCUAUAAGACUGGGAUAACUUCGGGAAACCGGAGCUAAUACCGGAUAAUUCCUUUCCUCUCAUGAGGAAAGGCUGAAAGACGGUUUCGGCUGUCACUUAUAGAUGGGCCCGCGGCGCAUUAGCUAGUUGGUGAGGUAACGGCUCACCAAGGCAACGAUGCGUAGCCGACCUGAGAGGGUGAUCGGCCACACUGGGACUGAGACACGGCCCAGACUCCUACGGGAGGCAGCAGUAGGGAAUCUUCCGCAAUGGACGAAAGUCUGACGGAGCAACGCCGCGUGAGUGAUGAAGGUUUUCGGAUCGUAAAACUCUGUUGUUAGGGAAGAACAAGUACGAGAGUAACUGCUCGUACCUUGACGGUACCUAACCAGAAAGCCACGGCUAACUACGUGCCAGCCGCCGCCGUAAAAC